rnacentral:lncRNA from 1 species
UGCUCUCCCUCUGCCCCUCCCCCUCCUUUCUCCCUUCUGCUUUAUUUUUAUCCCAAUCCUUAUUACCAGGAAAAAUAUAUAUGACUACGUGUCGGUUUCCUAUUUCCCCCUUAGAAUGUAAACACUAUGAGGGUGGAUACUUUGCCUUAUGUACCACUGUGUUGCCAGUUCAAAAGCAGUGCUGGGCAUGUGGAUGAUGCUCCUCCGUGUUUGUUUAAUGAAUGGGUGAGUGCGUGGGUUAAUGAAUGAAUGGGUACCACAGCUAGACCAGAAAUUCUCCCUAGCCCCAGGACACGGUCAGCACAAAUGGUAACAGCUAUGCACCUGUGCAGCUUCUGUGUGUGGUGGGCCCUCCUGGAACCCUGUGACGUAGCUGUUAUGAUCCCAUUUUACAGUAGCAUAAAUCAAGGCUUCCAGAAGAUAAGCGGCUUGCCCAAGGGCUCAUGGCCCUUAGGAGGCAGAGCCAGACUUGGAAUCGGUUGGCCUGACUUCAGAGCGCCAGCCCAGUGCACUCCGUGGCUCGCACGUAAACGUGCCAAAGACAGACAGAAGUCACCCUGGAAAGCAGCGUCAUCACAGGCUCUGGGGCAGUGCGUGCGUUUCAGCAACAGAUUUCCAGGUUUCUAGUGCAGGGCAGGAAGGCGCCCGCGCCAGCGCUCUUGGUCUGGUGGGUGACUGCAGCAAGGGCGCUGCGGUGCGGCGCCGCCUGAUGCUGCAGUUGUCAUGGCGACGAGCGCCUCGGCGAUUGGUCCCGCGCGGCCUCACUGUGUUGCUCCUUGGGCGCUGGGGCAAGGCUCCCGCGCGCCCGCCCCUUCUCUGGAUGCUGCCAGAGCAAACCGGGCGCAGACUUCCCUCAGCCCUCCCCUCUCUCUCCCCGCACCCCGCCAACCCGGAUGUGUGGGAGGGCAAAAGUCCAAGGUGGUCCCACGUAGCGGAGAGGCCGAUGCCCCUUCCCAACCUGGCGACCAUGGUGACUCCACGUCCUGCCAGGCACAGUCCUUCCCAGCUGGAGAAGGAGAGAAAGAGAAGAGGAAAACUGCCCCCAGACAGGAUGGCUUGCAGAAGACGCUAUUUAUAUCCAAAGGAAUCCCCUCGCAGUGGAAGGCCACCCUCAGAGAAUCAGCAAAUCCUCCUCCCUGAGUUUGGGCGGGGUCAGAAUGUUCUCCUCGUCGGAGGUCAGCUGGGACGACUUUGGAUGGUGGAGACCCUGGGGCAGAGGGCAGGGGACACAGCCCCACUGACCCAGGUGAGGAUCUGGGGGGGCUCUCACCCGCUGAGAGGUCUUGGGUGGGGCUCAGCCUCUCUGAGCCUCAGUUUCCUCCUCUAUAAAAUGAGGGUAAGAAACUGUGGCUUCCCAGGCAGGCUUGAGGAUGAAAUGAGAUUAUGUCAGCACCUGAAGAGCCUGACGCCUGCUGGGGUGAGGCUGAAAACCCAGGAGGGACCUCCAGAAAGGCCAAGUGGACCCCAGUGA